rnacentral:rRNA from 1 species
CCUACGGGAGGCAGCAGUGGGGAAUAUUGCGCAAUGGGCGAAAGCCUGACGCAGCGACGCCGCGUGAGGGAUGAAGGUCUUCGGAUCGUAAACCUCUGUCAGCAGGGAAGAACGGUCACUGUGCUAAUCAGCAGUGAAUUGACGGUACCUGCAAAGGAAGCACCGGCCAACUCCGUGCCAGCAGCCGCGGUAAUACGGAGGGUGCGAGCGGUAAUCGGAAUGACUGGGCGUAAAGCGCUCGUAGGCGGUAUGUCAAGUCAAGGGUGAAAUCCCCGCGCUCAACGUGGGAACUGCCGUUGAAACUGGCAAACUGGAGUGUGUGAGAGGAUAGUGGAAUGCCAGGUGUAGGGGUGAAAUCCGUAGAUAUCAGGAGGAACAUCAGUGGCGAAGGCGACUAUCUGGCACAUAACUGACGCUGAGGAGCGAAAGCGUGGGUAGCAAACAGGAUUAGAUACCCCAGUAGUC